CCUACGGGUGGCAGCAGUGAGGAAUAUUGGUCAAUGGCCGGAAGGCUGAACCAGCCAUGCCGCGUGAAGGUCAGUGCCCUAUGGGCGUUAAACUUCUUUUGUGCGGGAGCAAUAAUGGUCACGUGUGGCCAGACGAGAGUACCGUACGAAUAAGCAUCGGCUAACUCCGUGCCAGCAGCCGCGGUAAUACGGGGAUGGCAAGCGUUAUACGGAUUUUUUGGGUUUAAAGGGGGCGUAGGCUGUGAGGUAAGUCAGCGGUGAAAUGCCCCGGCUCAACGGGGUGAAGUGCCAUUGAUACUGCCAUGCUGGAGUGCGGAUGCCGUGGGAGGAAUGUGUGGUGUAGCGGUGAAAUGCAUAGAGAUCACACAGAACACCGAUUGCGAAGGCAUCUCGCGAAUCCGCGAUUGACGCUGAUGCACGAAAGCGUGGGUAUCAAACAGGAUUAGAUACCCGGGUAGUC
rnacentral:rRNA from 1 species